rnacentral:lncRNA from 1 species
AGGAUACAAUUUAUAUUCUCCUCAAACAUCAUCGGAAAUGUUUUAGUUAGGAAACAUGAAAUACACGAUGGAUCUUAUUGUCCUCUUGUAGUUUUAUGGUAAGCUACCUGGUCCAUGCGUUCCAAAAUUGUAAAAGACCAUAUUAUUUUGCAAAAAGCUUUGCUUAGAGAAGAUUGACAUUAUGGCAUGAGCACAAGAAAGACCAACGAGCCAAUCUCAAAUACGAAAUCCCGACGUUUGUUCAGGGCCGGUCUCGAGCAUAAGCGAGGGAACCGACCGCUUAGGGCAUCAUAUUUUAAACAAAAAAUUUA